rnacentral:tRNA from 1 species
GGUUCGGUGGUGUAGUGGCUAACAUGCCUCCCUGUCACGGAGGAGAUCGCGAGUUCAAUCCUCGUCCGAACCGCCA